GGUAAGAUUGGAAUUGCAAGAAAAAGUCAAAAAUCUAAAUUUAAUUGAAUUCAUAAUUGCGAGAUGAAAAACCUUUUAUAUUUUAUUCCGUGACCAAUUUCCAUAAAUUCCAAUUCAAUUCAAGUUAAUGAAAUUAACAGGCCUAGGAGUUUGAGGCAUUUUCAAUUCAAUUCUGAAUGAUGCUCAACGCGUUUAUCACAUUAUAUGAAUUUCUGAAAGAAACCGGAAAAUGGAACAAAUGUAGAAAUCGUACGAAUGCCUCGGCUGUAAUGAGUUCAGCGAUCAUCCACAGGCUACUUUAACUUUACUGAGCUCUGAUCCAGAACCCCUGAAAUAACCUCCAGAGGACGAGAGGUGAGGAGAGAUCGGGACGGGCAUCAGCAAACAGCUGAGCGCUUCUUCUGUCACUCUAAACCACAUCACAAUGGACCUUGAGCCGUGUGUGUUUGUGUACGAGGAUCAUCAUCUACCUGUCACUUCCUAAACAGGGCAUGUGUUAUUUAUAUCGGCCAGUAGACAACAGCACGGCUAAUCUACAAAAGGCUCAUCCAUCCGCGCCCCAUUGUCCGGCUGCAUUCGGGAUCCCCUCACUGUUCCGCUCGCCUCCGUCCAGCAGCGCUCAUGGCACCAAAGAAAGCAAAGAAGAGGGCUGCAGAAGGAGCGAACUCCAACGUCUUCUCUAUGUUUGAACAGGCUCAGAUCCAGGAGUUCAAGGAGGCGUUUACCAUCAUGGACCAGAACAGAGAUGGAUUCAUUGACAAGAAUGACCUGAGGGACACGUUUGCAGCUCUAGGUUAGUAUGACAGGUUUACACCUUCAUAACACAAAAAAUUUAAUCAUAAAAAAAUAAACAUGUAAAAUGUGCUUUAGUCCUAAAGUUC
ensembl:lncRNA